rnacentral:rRNA from 1 species
AUUCCUACGGGAGGCAGCAGUGGGGAAUAUUGCACAAUGGGCGCAAGCCUGAUGCAGCGACGCCGCGUGAGGGAUGAAGGCCUUCGGGUUGUAAACCUCUUUCAGCAGGGAAGAAGUGCCUGGGUUUUCUUGGGUGUGACGGUACCUGCAGAAGAAGCACCGGCUAACUACGUGCCAGCAGCCGCGGUAAUACGUAGGGUGCAAGCGUUGUCCGGAAUUAUUGGGCGUAAAGAGCUUGUAGGCGGUUUGUCGCGUCUGCUGUGAAAUUUCGGGGCUCAACCCCGAACUUGCAGUGGGUACGGGCAGACUAGAGUGUGGUAGGGGAGACUGGAAUUCCUGGUGUAGCGGUGAAAUGCGCAGAUAUCAGGAGGAACACCGAUGGCGAAGGCAGGUCUCUGGGCCACUACUGACGCUGAGAAGCGAAAGCAUGGGGAGCGAACAGGAUUAGAUACCCUGGUAGUCCAUGCCGUAAACGGUGGGAACUAGGUGUGGGCCUCAUUCCACGAGGUCCGUGCCGCAGCUAACGCAUUAAGUUCCCCGCCUGGGGAGUACGGCCGCAAGGCUAAAACUCAAAGGAAUUGACGGGGGCCCGCACAAGCGGCGGAGCAUGCGGAUUAAUUCGAUGCAACGCGAAGAACCUUACCAAGGUUUGACAUGUGCCGGAAAAGUGCAGAGAUGUGCUUUUUGUAAGGUCGGUACACAGGUGGUGCAUGGUUGUCGUCAGCUCGUGUCGUGAGAUGUUGGGUUAAGUCCCGCAACGAGCGCAAUCCUUGUUCUAUGUUGCCAGCACGUGAUGGUGGGGACUCAUAGGAGACUGUUGGGGUCAACUCGGAGGAAGGUGGGGAUGACGUCAAAUCAUCAUGCUUUUUAUGUCUUGGGCUUCACGCAUGCUACAAUGGCCAGUACAAAGGGCUGCGAUACCGCAAGGUGGAGCGAAUCCCAAAAAACUGGUCUCAGUUCGGAUUGGGGUCUGCAACUCGAUUCUAUGAAGUCGGAGUCGUUAGUAAUCGCAGAUCAGCAACGUUGCGGUGAAUACGUUCCCGGGCCUUGUACACACCGCC